rnacentral:lncRNA from 1 species
UUUUUUUGUUUGCUUGUUUGUUUGUUUGUUUUAACUUGUGGGCACUUUGCAUGUUUUGGUAUCUGUAGGUUAUAAGUUAAUUUUACAGCUCCUAAAUAUAGUACAUUUCUCAAUCUAUUUCCUGCCUUUUGAUAUAUAUGCAUCAGCUCGAAAUCCCAAUUCUUUCUUUCCCUGACCUACUAGGAUGUAGAAAAUAAAGUAGGCUCUGAGUACAAGAGACCUCGCACAUAGCUCAUCACCUGUGAAGUCUGCAUAGUUACUACACCUCUCUGAGUCUCUGAGUCUUUAUCUAUAAAGCAGAGUUAACUGUUUCUCUUUAGACACGUGAGGCAGAAGAAAGCAGGAGAUAGAACACAACAUAAAUUUAUGUAGGGGUACCCACAGUAUCAUAAAUAAAUGGAUACUUUCAAAACUAAAUGACAGAGCAUUUAUGGAAUAUUACAGAGCAUCUAUCUAGCAAAAAUAAAAUAAAUAAAUUUAAGUAAGUAAGUUAGUAACAGUGUUUGGACCCACACAAACCUGGAUUUGAAUCUGAGGUCAACCACUUAUUAGUCCUCUAAAUUUGGGCAAGUUAUUUGUCCUCUGAGUCCUCUUCCUUAUCUGUGAAAUGGGGACAAUACCGUGUAGUACAUUGGUUAUUGUUGUAAGGGUUAAUAAAGAUGCAUGGAAGUGCCUGGCAUAGAGUAUGCAUUACUGUUAUGAGUAUUAUUGAUAAACAUCAUAUCUGUUCAUCUUAUCAUCUGUAUCUUGCUAGAAAAACCACUCAAAUUCCUGGAGCCUCGAGUGCCCCAACUAUGAAACAGGGACAGCUGCCCCUCCCUCCCUGAGUUACUGUGGGGAUUUGAGGAAGUCACCUAUGUGACAGUGGCUGGCAUCAUGACCACAGCAUGGGAGGCAUCAAGACAGCUUCUUCUUCAGGUUAUUGAGUAUAUUAUGCUUCUCCCUGCUGCAUUGAUGAAAGAAACCUCAAAGAAGAAACCUGGUUUUGAUGGCUUCUCUUUACUGACAUGUUUUAGAUAGCUGACCUUCAAUUUUAUGGAAAUCCAAUUGAUAUUAUUUAAAAUCUGCACUGUGGAAGGGAGACUCUUCAUUUUACCAGACAAUUCUUCCAUUAGCUGAAAUACUCAGUGAUUUCUUUAAAUGUGCAAUUCCCUACCAUCUUUUAAAAAUAUGAUUCAAAUGAGCAAAUCUUUAUUAACCCAACGUGUUAGGACCCCUUUUAUUGUAGAAAAUACACCUGUCUGGGUCAGGACUGCUCUGCUCUUUGUGUAUCAGCUUUAGCAUUCAAUCUGCCUCUCUUGCACCUUGGGUCCACGUCAGUGCCUUCAACUUAGAUUGAAAGUCCACUGGGUCAUUGCUUUCUGACUGGCAUCUAUGGAUGCUUCCCGGGCAGGGCAGCCACGUGGGAAAUGUUGCUGGUCAUCACUGUCAGAUGACUGCUCUGAGCACCUGUUGGCCUUGAAAUUUACAAACAGAAAGCAGAAGCUGACAUGGCCUCUCCUUGAAGUCCUGUCCAGUUUCUCUCUGCCUGGUUCUAAGUUCAGAAUCCAUCUCUCGUUUAUGCCAGCUUCUGCCUUCCUUAGCCACCCCCAGCUCAAGGUGGGAGGGUGGGAGGUGGGGUCUGGUAGACUAAGGAAAUAAACUGGCAUAUGUAAUUCAUUCCGGACCUAAUUCUAGGGUACCGGGAACUCUGCUUUUGAGACUGAGAUAACGGACUUAGAUGCCAAGGCACCAGAGCUGCAACGGGAAUCAGAACCGGGGAGCUGGGAAAAAAAGGCAGCGGCAAUCAGAAGUAAUGCUUCAUGUUGCAAGAGUGCACUGCAGUUUUCUGAAGACACAUUCUUACAUUUAUUCUUCACAGCCACCCCUGAGAGGCUAGUAAUAAUAUGCAAUAUUUUCAUAGAUUAUGUCAAUCUACAUGCAUGCAUAUUACACAAAUAUUUAUUUAUUCAUUCAUUCAUUCAUUCAUUCAUUUGGAGAAAUUGAGGCUCCGUGUCCCAGCUGAGGUCAAACAUCUAGAUAGUGGCAGAGCUGGGAUUCAAAUGCAGCUCUAGUUUCAGGGCAGAUGAGGGCUAGUGAUACUAAGCCAUUUGCCAAUAGAAACACUUGGUUUACCUGAAAAUCCUUGGCCUCAACCCAUAGUCCAGUGGAAGGACACAGGUGGGGCUCAAUGGAAUACAUCGUGGGGAGGACUGAGUAAUUUUUCUACAGGAGUGGGGAACAUCUUAUCAAUAUGAGUUGAGGAUCUUUGGGGAAAGCCAAAAGAGGAAAGCAAUUGACAUGCAAUUAGAGAGAGCACAGGCAGCUUCCAUUGGCUGGGACAACCCUCAGGGGAGAGGCAGUGGAGGAGAGUGAGCCAGGCUGCUGAGAAUCAUCUCUCAGUUCUGUCACUAACCAGCAAUGCGAGCUACUUAACCUCCUCCACCUCAACGUGUUCAUCUGUAUAAUGGGGACAAUGAUAGCACUGUCCUCAUGGAGUUGUUAGGAUGACGAAACCAAAUGACACUUCUCAAGUUCUUAGAACACUGCCUGCCCCCUCCAUAAGCAUUUGAUAGAUGUUAGUUAUUAUCAUUUUUCUCACCCAACCUUGGCUAAUGCCCUAUAAUAGGGCCAACUCUUCCCUUGGCCAAGCUGAUUUGUAUAAUGUAUAAAUGGUUUCAUGGAGGACUGGUCUGGCUUUUCAGGCAGAGAUGACACCUCACAGUCUGCCCAAGACACAGCUAUGGCAGCAUCAGAAAUGCCUCCCCACGCACGAGGGCCACUAUCCAAAGUGAGGUGUCCUCCAGCACUUUUCUUUAGUUAGUAAAUGGAGUCCUCAUGAAAGCAGAGCUGAGGCAAUGCUUCUCAAACUGUCAUCAUUAAAUUUUUGGGCCCUGCCCCCAGAGUUUUUGAUCCAGUAGGUCUGGGUAGGGCCCGAGAAUCUACAUUUCUAACAGGUGGCCUGGUGAGGCUCCUACCCACUCCCACCCCACCAACUGGGGGAGAAAGGCCUUGGAGGCCCCUUCUCUGCCCCCUCCCAACCAGGUGUCGCUAAUUAACCUUGAGGCUCAGUUUCUCCAUCUGUGAAAAAGAGUCCCUGGCAGAGCUGCUGUAAGACUGAGAUCAUCCUUAAACCAUGUUUACAUAGUGCCUGGGCACAGUGAGCAGCCUGAGCAUAUUCAUACUUACUGCAUUUUUAUUAUCAUUUCACAGGGUGCGUGUGGGGCAGAGGAGGCAGCUGUAGCCUGUUCGAGCAGAGCUCAAAAACAAUCUCUUAAAAAAAGGCUACAUGCAUCUCCGACCUAAAGCCAGCCUCCUGUGUCACAUUCACACUGAAUCCACUCCUACCCAUCCAGAUUUUUGCUUUUCUCACAUAGUUACACUUACUCCCACUGACAAUGAAAUUUAUAUUGCAGCCUUCUCAGCCACGAGGAGGCCAUUUGCUACAAGCAAUGCCUGUGUUCCAGAUGAGGAAACUAAGAUUUUUGUCAGAUUAGUGAGCCUCGACAUCCCCAAAUGCAAGUUCUCAUUUUUAGUGUAUAACGUCAUUGUGGCAUAUUUUCUAUAUAAUAGAAUUUACCUGUUUCAAUUGCACAAUUCGAUGAUUUUUCGUGAAUUUGCCCAGUUGUGUAACCUUCACCAUAAAUCAGUUUAGAACAUUUUGAUCACCCCAACAAGAUCUCCCGUGCCCUUUUACCCUGCCAAGGAUGGCACAUGGGUUUCGAGGGUUGGAGGCAGGGCUGCAAUAGAUAAAUCUGCCCAGACCCCCAGGCCAAAGUUUGGAACUCAGGACUCAGGGCCAGUGUCUGGAGACAAGGUGGGUCAUAGGUUCAUCCCCUGGCACUGCUGAAAGCACCAGAGUGUGUAGCCUGAAGCCACUGGGACUCUGCUAACACGGCAACUUGGAGGGAGUCUGCUGUGAAGAAGAAUCAGCAAAUAUGCUUCAUCCUCAUGGGGCUCCUUGGUCCAGAUGCCCACACAGCUGGCUGUGGCCAGGAGGGACUCUGAAUGCCUGGCGUUGGUAAAAAAUGAAAAACCAAUCCUUCGAGAUCCAAGGCCAGAUGAGAAUUCUGAGUAAACAAUAAAAAGCGAGAUCCCUUUUGAUCCUUCUGCUGCAUGACAUCUCUAAUGGUUGCUUCAUAAUAAUAAUAACUACUGUUAUUUAGAAAUUAAUUUGUGACAAGGCACUGUGCUAAGAAAUCUCUGUUCCAUUUAUGAUGAUGUUAUUUAAUUCUCCUAACAAUGUUUUGAGGUAGGAAUAUUUUUUGUUCCUAUUUUUUUUCCAUGAAAAAAAAAACUAAGGCUCAGAGAGGUUGAGACUUGCCCAAGUACACACACACAUAGUAAGUAGAUGACAGAGUCAGAAUUAAAAACCAAGGCUGUUUGUUUCCAAAGCCUGUGUUCUCCCCAAGUAGCACAGUGGUGCCAAAAUAACAACAACAGAAUGUGGGACCAGCACAUCACAGUUUCUGGAGCAUGUCGCCAUUUAUUCUCCUACUUAAUCUGGAUGGGAGUCCCAUGAAGGUAGGGGCCAUGUCUGCUUCUCUUCACCAUUGAAUACCCAGCACCUGGUGCUGUGCUUGGCACCCAGAGGUGUCAGUAUUUAUCAAUUUGACAUUGUCAUGCCUCUAUCAUAGGAGGUAAAAAGACACGAGAGUAUACUGGCUUUGUCACUCAGAAGUUAAGAGACUGGCAAGUUACUUCUUUGUGCCUCAGUUUCCUGAUAUGUGAACAAAACAAAAUAAAAUGAAAGAAAAAGGAAAUCCUCCAUUUCAGAGGACUGUUGUGAAGAUUAAAUACCCAGCGUCUUGCUGCACGAAGUCAGCAGUCAGUGAUACCAACCCUUACAAGUAUUAUUAAUAUUCCUAUUGCAGAGAUAAGGAGAUUUGGGCUCAAAAGGAGACUCUUUAGCCAAGAACCAAAGGGAGAACAUGGCUGAGGCAGGACAUGAGUCCUCUGGACUCCAAGGCAGCCCAAGGCUUUUUCUUGACUUUACAUGCUCAAUAAAUGUCUACCGACUGAAAGAAAAAAAAAAAAGUGUCUGGCCGCUGACUCAGAGCCAGAAGAGAAGGUACUGGUACAAACCAGUUCCCAGAGUGCUCAUGAUUACUGCUGGGGGCACCUUUGGGAGGCUCCAUGGAUCCAGAAGGGGAAUCCUUUCCUACCCCAUGGAUCCAGAGCCUCCUUCCUUAAAGGAAAAGAUGCUCCCCCAGACUGAAUUCCUCUGGCAAGCACCUCCUCUUUGCCUCCCCUCCCUCAGGAAUGUUCCUGUGAAGGUGAAACAUGUGAAAUCUGAAAGGGAACAGUGAAUGGUUGCUCUUGUGCAUUGUUAUGCAAAUGCUACACAAAUUGGAGUCUUAAAUCUGGCCCUAAUGAUGCCAUCCUGCUUUGUCUUCCAGCUUCCCUGACACCCAUUCUGAGAUGCACCAUACAGAUGUUAGUUUAUUAUGUACACCAAUAACUCACUCUACGUCUCAGCGAGGUGGGCUGUUAGCAGCCAGCAUCUCAGCCCUGAUAGCGACGGAAUGUGCCCCAGUGAAAGAUGUGUGAUUUAAGCUCUUUGCAGCCCACAAUUCAAGCGCUUUCUUUUAUCAGGGCCCAAGCAGCAGCUAAUCGUGUGACGGAGUGAUGGCAAAUCCAGAAACAACGCAGAUCCCACAAAGAGGCUGAUUAAAAGCUUACUCGAAAUUUGGAAAAUAAUAAUUUUUAAAAAUGAUAACAUUAAGAAAAAAAAAAUCUCAAGAUGCACAAAGAAAACCAAUUUAGUUUGAGCCAAUCCUUCAUCCUCAGAAGGAUUAGAAGAAAGGUUCUGCUUUAUGCUCAAUGUGGAGACACUCUGCAGCCAAAACAUAAAACGUCCCACUAAUUAUUCUUUCAAGCUUCAACAUGUACUUUAUUAAUCUUUUUCCCCACUUUAACAGCCGCAGAUGUAGGCUUAAUUCAGUGAAUAAGCAACAGAACUUGUUUAAGUUCAGCAUGUCAGCUGCAUCUUUGGUGUUUGCUGCACCGGGGCGGGCGACGUUGGCAGGGCUCAGAAAUGGAAGUCGUGUCAAUCAUGUGUGGCAUUAUUCUUCCAGGAGGUAACCUGUCUUUAGCAUAUCCCAGCCAGUGCACUCCAGGCAGAACAGUGUGGUGUCUUCGGAGGGUUGCUCAAAGAAAAAGACAGCUGAAGGAAGAAUCAAAGUAGCGAUGAUAUAAAACACCCUGUGUUGCCUAAGGAUCCAGAAGAUUCUCAUUCCUCAUGAUGAAUCCAAAAGAAAAAUAGUAAAAUAGAUAGUACGAAAAAGUACCAAUUAUGUGGAAACGAGACACUUCAAGGUCAGAUUCAUUUUCAUGUUUCAGGGGCCACAUUCUACUUCAUUCUUUCAUGUAACUGUCCAACCAUUUUUUUCAUUUAUAAUUGAAUAAAUUAUAUCACUCUGUAAAUAUAUUGCCUCCAUAGUAGGUAUGAGCACUAUUAUGUGUCAAGCACUGUGUAUGGGACUUAGGUAAGUAACAUACAGAUAUCCUAUUCUUCAGGAAAAGGAAAAAGAGGAAAAGAAUUGCUACAUAUUGAGUGACUACCAUAUAUGGGACACUGUGCAGAGAACUCUCAGUAUUCCUUAUGCCCUGAGUAGUAGAUAUGAUCUCAAUUUGCAGGUAAGAAAUCUGAAGCUGCGGGAUCCCUGGGUGGCGCAGCGGUUUGGCGCCUGCCUUCGGCCCAGGGCGCGAUCCUGGAGACCCGGGAUCGAAUCCCACGUCGGGCUCCCGGUGCAUGGAGCCUGCUUCUCCCUCUGGCUCUCUCUCUCUCUGUCUCUCAGUCUUUCAUGAAUAAAUAAAUAAAUAAAAUCUUUAAAAAAAAAAAAAAAAAA